GAUGAACGCUGGCGGCGUGCUUAACACAUGCAAGUCGAACGAUGAAGCCCAGCUUGCUGGGUGGAUUAGUGGCGAACGGGUGAGUAACACGUGAGUAACCUGCCCUUAACUCUGGGAUAAGCCUGGGAAACUGGGUCUAAUACCGGAUAGGAGCGCCUACCGCAUGGUGGGUGUUGGAAAGAUUUAUCGGUUUUGGAUGGACUCGCGGCCUAUCAGCUUGUUGGUGAGGGAAUGGCUCACCAAGGCGACGACGGGUAGCCGGCCUGAGAGGGUGACCGGCCACACUGGGACUGAGACACGGCCCAGACUGCUACGGGAGGCAGAAGUGGGGAAUAUUGCACAAUGGGCGAAAGCCUGAUGCAGCGACGCCGCGUGAGGGAUGACGGCCUUCGGGUUGUAAACCUCUUUCAGUAGGGAAGAAGCGAAAGUGACGGUACCUGCAGAAGAAGCACCGGCUAACUACGUG
rnacentral:rRNA from 1 species